rnacentral:lncRNA from 1 species
ACCUCAUCUGUCUGUAUCUGCCCCACUAGAGGUCUCCCUGUGUGACCUCAGCGAUUGUUGCUUGUCCUGUGUCUGUUCUGCUGUUUGUCGUUUCUCCAGCGUCUUCUUGCUGUUUGUCAUUGGUCCAGUGUCUGUUCCUCGGCCGUUUGUCCUGUUUGUCUGUGCGAGUGUUGUGCGGGGCCCUUUUCUGGUUCCCAUAACCGCUCUCUUUCAUCAGGACUCCUUCGCUCCACCACAUCAUGGACAGGAAGCGCUACAGAGGUCUCUACCUGGACCCCUUUAACUUGUUUUCUUAACAAUUUUCAGGACUUUGUCUGUUGGUUGGUUUUUGUUUGUUCCCUUUGUGUUCUGCGUUAGUUUCUACCUCAGUUUGUUUCUAAUGGGGAAAAAAAUGGUUAAGAAGGUUUUAACUGUGCUCACUACAGCUUGCAUUAAAAUGUAAAGUGCUGCCGACAGGACUAAAAGAAUGGUCAAAAGUAAGAGCUAAAGGUAAAAAGAAAAAGGCAUUCUAGAGAUUGCCUUCACUUAGGAACUGGGCCAGGUGGCCAACAGGGUAGAUCAUGUCAGUUCCUGUAGAGGACAGAUUAAAACUAAAGUGUUUUAUAUAAUUAUUAUUCCUAAAUGUAUUUUGUAUUACAAAAAACAUGGUUUUGUCUAGAAAAUUUGGCUUUUGUCUCUCAGUAUUUGCAAGCAUGAAUAACUCCCAACUAUUAAAAAAUGGUCUAAAGAUUUUUCAAUGUCAGGCUAAAAGUUGGUGGCCGCUAUCCAAGAAACCAGAAAAACCAGUUUAAAAUGGGACCCCAACCUGGGGGACUCUCCCAAGGAGACCAAUGGAGCUGCGUCUUUGGGAAGUUCCUCCAGGGAAAAAUUAGCCCCCUUUGUUUGUCUAUGUUCCCUCAACUCUUUUUAGCAUUCAUGAACAGGACCACCUCAGGAAAAAGGUCAGAAAACUUU